AUGAUGGUUAUUUUAUUUGGAUUGUUUCGGAUCUUGCCGAGUACGCACGCUAAAUUUUAGCUCUGCAUUAAAUUUGAUUUUUAAGUGGUUAAAAGGAGUGUUUUCAACUUGUGCGUGGGUGGAAAUUGUUCGUCUUUUAUUCUUCUUCAAAACUUUGCAUUGUUCAACAAGAACAUUUCAGAUCAUCCUCAUCCUCUCAACCGAUUACAGAAGUGGGAAACCUAUUAGAUCGGCUAUAGACCGGCAUCUAUCGCACCGGAUAAGUUUUCGGAACAAAUUCGAAGGAUACCUGCAAAUUCUCAUCUUCCGGGUGUCUCGCCAAUAAAUCAGCUUUCGUUACCUACUUC